rnacentral:lncRNA from 1 species
CUGUACUGGGCUGAAUAGUUGGAAAUUAGAUACAACAUACCAUUCAGGUUGAUUAGCCUAAGAAAUCUAAUCUAACCUAUAAAUUACAGGAAAGUAUACAGUUGGACGUAGGCAUAUUGAGCAAAUACAAUAUCUUUUCUUCAAAUUUCACUGCUUCACUAUAUUCUAUAAAGAGAUAAUAAAAACUAUACACCAGAUAAACUGGCCACCCUCGCCAAAAAAAGAGAUAAACUGGCCACACGCAGGUCCUCAUAGUAAGUAUCUUACCAUGCGUGAUACAUCUUUUGGCAACAAUAUUCCCUGUUAAUUAUGAUUGUCGGAACAUCAGGAACCUGGGACAUUAACAACUGCCAAAAUUUGUUUCUAGAAGCUCAUGUACCUUUUUGCUUUCUUAUGUCAAGAUGUAAAUUUCCAUGGUCAUGAAGACUUUUUUAUCAAGCCAUUGUCCACUCAUUACAAUAAAUGAUCUAUUGUUUGUACAAAAUUAGCUCAACAAAAGGAAGAUGAGAGCAACGGAAAUAAAAUUGUAUCGCUUCACAUGCAGUAAGUGAAAGAGAAAUGAGUAAGGGGGCAAAUUUAGUUGUGUGAACAAAAGUACCAAAAGUACCAACGAUGGUGUCUAGUAUUCUUUCUUAAUUUACCUACUUCUGGCCAAUAUCCUCAGAGACAACCUCUCUUUUUGUGCAGCAAAUGUCAGUGACUCUCUUCCAAGAAGUAAGUCCCGGAAUGACAACCACGACACACGCAAGAACUCUCACAAGGCAACGAAAGUGAGCGACGCGGCCUGGCCAAUUACCUGCCCCAAACCAACCAAAAAAAU